rnacentral:misc_RNA from 1 species
GUCGCUACAAGUGGCCGCCGGUCAGCAUAUAACGCUGAAUAUAGCUGAAGAACAAAGGGUGUUAAUUAAACACGUUCCCAUCAAACUAACAACCAUGGCGCACCAGGAUGCCGGUGUCGGCGGCAAAGAUCACCGCGAGCUGCAGGCGCAGCACACCACCGACACCGAGGAGCUGCUGGCAGCCCACCGCGAGCUUUGGAGCCAUGCCCUGGGCUACGUCAAGUCCAUGGCGCUCAAAUGCGCAUUGGACCUUGGCAUCCCCGAUACCAUCCAACGCUACGGCGGAGGCGCCACCGUAGGCGAACUCGCCGCCGCCAGCAACCUCCCCGCAUCCAGCCUCCCCUUCCUGCGUCGACUCAUGCGGACGCUGACAGCCAUGCGCAUCUUCGCGGUCCACCGUGAUGACGAUCCCAGCGACGACCCUGCUGAUGAUGCAGCCGCCGUUGUCUCGUACCAGCUCACGGCGACCUCCCGCCUGCUCGUCAACGGUGGCUCCUAUUUCAGCAUACGCCCAAACAUUUCCGCCCUUGUCCAUCAGGGUGCCGUCUCCCCCAUGUUCAGCAUGAGCGAGUGGAUGAAGCAGCACCACCACCACGCGCCCGACAUGACUCUCCACGAGAUGGUGCACGGCGAACCGUGUGGGAGUCUUUCCGAGCCAACCCCGCGAUCAGAGCCUGGUUCUACGACGCCAUGGACGCCGAUGCCCGCCUCGUCAUGCACGUCGUGCUCAGCGAGUGCCCUGCCGUCUUCCACGGCCUCGCUUCGCUCGUCGACGUCGGCGGCGGCCAUGGCACAGCCGCGGCUGCCAUCGCCAGGGCCUUCCCACACAUCAAGUGUACCGUCAUGGACCUCCCUCACGUUGUCGCUGAGGCUCCCGCGGGCACUGGACUGUGCUUCCUCGCCGGCGAUAUGUUCGACCACAUCCCACCGGCUGACGGUAUUCUGCUCAAGUGGAUUCUGCAUGAUUGGGAUGAUGCGAAGUGCAUUAAGAUAAUGGAACGGUGCAAGGAAGCAAUCGGUGGCAAAGAAAGGGGAGGGAAAGUCAUUAUAAUCGACACCGUGAUUGGAUCUAGGCCAAAUGAGGAAGAUAUGAUACGCAGGGAGGCUCAAGUCCUGUGUGAUCUAGGUAUGAUGACAACGUCGAACGGAGCUGAGCGAGAGGAGCACGAGUGGAGAAGGAUCUUCCUAGCAGCUGGAUUUCGUGACUACAAAAUCACAGACACACGAGGUAUCCCGUCAAUCAUCGAGGUCUAUCCAUAGUGAGAAUUGAGAGAGAGAGAGAGAGAGAGAGCAUCUUAUCCUAUCCUUUAUACGUAUAAAUCCUUAUUAAUUGCAAAAAAGCUCAAUUCUCAGCCUUCCAUACCAUCUCAAGUGGCAUUAGUACUAGCAGCUAGCCAUCAGAUUAUGUUGUAUCAGCAUCAUCAUCAAGCCAUUCAUUGUCGAUCCUCUAUCUGAUAUGCGUCGAUGUCUGCACUGUUGGAAUACGGUCUGAAUUCUGACAUGAGUUUUAUAAAGAUUUGUUUCAUGGACUGCAGUCCGUUCAUC